GGUUGAUCCUGCCAGUAGUGAUUCGCUUGUUUCAAAGAUUUCAAGCCAUGCACGUCUAAGUAUGAGCGAACUCGAUUUAGUGAAACUGCAGAUGGCUCAUUACACCAGUUUGAAUUCACACGAUGGGUGUGCGCGAGUGCUACAUGGAUAUCCGUAGUAAUUCUAGAGCUAAUACAUGCAGGAGCGCCCGACCUCGCGGAAGGGUUGUAUUUAUUGGAUGGUUGAAACCGACUCCCCUCUCACGGGGGGAUCGCGUUUGUUGAUUCACGAUAACUGAUCGGAUCGCCUCCCC
rnacentral:rRNA from 1 species